UACGGGGGGAGCAAGCGUUGUUCGGAUUUACUGGGCGUAAAGGGCGCGUAGGCGGCCUGUGCAAGUCGGUUGUGAAAUCUCCGAGCUUAACUCGGAACGGUCAACUGAUACUGCUCGGCUAGAGUGCGGAAGGGGCAACUGGAAUUCUUGGUGUAGCGGUGAAAUGCGUAGAUAUCAAGAGGAACACCUGCGGCGAAGGCGGGUUGCUGGGCCGACACUGACGCUGAGGCGCGAAAGCUAGGGGAGCAAACAGG
rnacentral:rRNA from 1 species